ACCUCUAUAGUGUAGUGGUACACGCGUCCUCGAUAUGGAUGAAACGCGGGUUCAAUUCCCGCCUGAUGUC